CCUACGGGAUGCAGCAGUGAGGAAUAUUGGUCAAUGGGCGCGAGCCUGAACCAGCCAAGUAGCGUGAAGGAUGACUGCCCUACGGGUUGUAAACUUCUUUUAUAAAGGAAUAAAGUGAGGCACGUGUGCCUUUUUGUAUGUACUUUAUGAAUAAGGAUCGGCUAACUCCGUUCCAUCAGCCGCGGUAAUACGGAGGAUCCGAGCGUUAUCCGGAUUUAUUGGGUUUAAAGUGAGCGUAGAUGGGUUGUUAAGUCAGUUGUGAAAGUUUGCGGCUCAACCGGAAAAUUGCAAUUGAUACUGGCAGUCUUGAGUACAGUUGAGGUAGGCGGAAUUCGUGGUGUAGCGGUGAAAUGCUUAGAUAUCACGAAGAACGCCGAUUGCGAAGGCAGCUUACUAAACUGCCACUGACAUUGAUGCUCGAAAGUGUGGGUAUCAAACAGGAGUAGAUACCCGUGUAGUC
rnacentral:rRNA from 1 species